UACGUAGGGGGCAAGCGUUGUCCGGAUUUAUUGGGCGUAAAGAGCGUGUAGGCGGCCAUACAGGUCAGCUGUGAAAACUCGAGGCUCAACCUCGAGACGUCGGUUGAAACCGUAUGGCUAGAGUCCGGAAGAGGAGAGUGGAAUUCCCGGUGUAGCGGUGAAAUGCGCAGAUAUCAGGAGGAACACCGGUGGCGAAGGCGGGACUCUGGGCCGAUACUGACGCUGAGGAGCGAAAGCGUGGGGAGCAAACAGG
rnacentral:rRNA from 1 species